rnacentral:rRNA from 1 species
UGGGGAAUUUUGCACAAUGGGCGCAAGCCUGAUGCAGCGACGCCGCGUGAGGGAUGAAGGCCUUCGGGUUGUAAACCUUUUUCGCUCAUGGUCAAGCCGCAGCUUUGGGUUGUGGUGAGGGUAGUGGGUAAAGAAGCGCCGGCUAACUACGUGCCAGCAGCCGCGGUAAUACGUAGGGCGCGAGCGUUGUCCGGAAUUAUUGGGCGUAAAGGGCUUGUAGGCGGUUGGCCGCGUCUGCCGUGAAAUCCUCUGGCUUAACUGGGGGCGUGCGGUGGGUACGGGUUGACUUGAGUGCGGUAGGGGAGACGGGAAUUCCUGGUGUAGCGGUGGAGUGCGCAGAUAUCAGGAGGAACACCGGUGGCGAAGGCGGGUCUCUGGGCCGUUACUGACGCUGAGGAGCGAAAGCGUGGGGAGCGAACAGG